rnacentral:rRNA from 1 species
GUGACCCCGGUCUAACCACCGGGAUGUUCAUAACCCUUUGUUGUCCGACUCUGUUGCCUCCGGGGCGACCCUGCCUUCGGGCGGGGGCUCCGGGUGGACACUUCAAACUCUUGCGUAACUUUGCAGUCUGAGUAAACUUAAUUAAUAAAUUAAAACUUUUAACAACGGAUCUCUUGGUUCUGGCAUCGAUGAAGAACGCAGCGAAAUGCGAUAAGUAAUGUGAAUUGCAGAAUUCAGUGAAUCAUCGAAUCUUUGAACGCACAUUGCGCCCCCUGGUAUUCCGGGGGGCAUGCCUGUUCGAGCGUCAUUUCACCACUCAAGCCUCGCUUGGUAUUGGGCAACGCGGUCCGCCGCGUGCCUCAAAUCGACCGGCUGGGUCUUCUGUCCCCUAAGCGUUGUGGAAACUAUUCGCUAAAGGGUGUUCGGGAGGCUACGCCGUAAAACAACCCCAUUUCUAAGGUUGACCUCGGAUCAGGUAGGGAUACCCGCUGAACUUAAGCAUAUCAAUAAGCGGAGGAAAAGAAACCAACAGGGAUUGCUCUAGUAACGGCGAGUGAAGCAGCAAUAGCUCAAAUUUGAAAUCUGGCGUCUUCGACGUCCGAGUUGUAAUUUGUAGAGGAUGCUUCUGAGUAACCACCGACCUAAGUUCCUUGGAACAGGACGUCAUAGAGGGUGAGAAUCCCGUAUGCGGUCGGAAAGGUGCUCUAUACGUAGCUCCUUCGACGAGUCGAGUUGUUUGGGAAUGCAGCUCUAAAUGGGAGGUAAAUUUCUUCUAAAGCUAAAUAUUGGCCAGAGACCGAUAGCGCACAAGUAGAGUGAUCGAAAGAUGAAAAGCACUUUGGAAAGAGAGUUAAAAAGCACGUGAAAUUGUUAAAAGGGAAGGGAUUGCAACCAGACUUGCUCGCGGUGUUCCGCCGGUCUUCUGACCGGUCUACUCGCCGCGUUGCAGGCCAGCAUCGUCUGGUGCCGCUGGAUAAGACUUGAGGAAUGUAGCUCCCUCGGGAGUGUUAUAGCCUCUUGUGAUGCAGCGAGCGCC